CUCCCACCCGAGAUCUCUCUCGCCUCCUCUCGCCUCUCAACCCUAACCCCCUUUCUUCCUCGGUAUCCAAAUCCAAUCACGCCGCCGCCUCACCACGCACCUCCCUGGAUACUCCAGCCCCUCCCACCUCCUACCGGUCCUCUGACGCUCAGGUGCCCCCUGCCCCCCUCCUCCUGGUGACCACAGAGCUCCGCACGGACGAGGGACACGCAUGCCCGCCGGCCUUGAUGGUCGCCCUCUCUCCCGUGGCCAGCCGCGCUACGGCGAGGAGCUGAGGGCAAGCGGAGGGUAGAGGAGAGAGAGCCGUGGGCAGGAUAGGCGGUGAAGGGUAAAUGAGCCUGUUAGCGCGGCAUGGCUAUGUCGCCCCGGCGGUGAUGACCGCCACACCAGCGCGACACCCUCCGCAGCGCGUCCCGCCCAACGAUUCACAGCCAUGCGGCUCCGCCAUCCCCAGAUCGGAUCAGUUAUGGCUCGGUUUUUGAGGAUUUUGGUCAUCUCAAAAUUGGAUCCUUUCUUGGUGAUGAAUCUUGAGGAAUGAAUGGUGGUUGCAUCCAGAAAUGCGUUAAGAUUUUAUCAGUCAGCCUGUUCUCCUUUGUCAUAUGUCAGAACAAAAGGCUUCAAAAUAUACCACUGCAUUUACCAGCUGUGAAUCUUUUUCAGAAAGCGGGUGCUUAAUGGAAGUUGGGACAACACAGUGUUACUUUGAACGCACUUGACCUUCCGUCUGAUAAUAUUGUAAAGUCUUCUGCGUUUUUGUUAUUGGGGCAGAUUUUUUUUUUUCGAGCUUAUGAGAUAUGACAGCCUCAUGCGUUAUAUGAAGAUAUUCAGUGAAAUCUCCUCCGUAUUGUUAACAGACUGAAAGUUUAAGAUAUGUGAUGUUGCCUAAUUUAUUUC